GACGAACGCUGGCGGCGUGCUUAACACAUGCAAGUCGUACGGUAAGGCCCUUUCGGGGGUACACGAGUGGCGCACGGGUGAGUAACACGUGAGUAACCUGCCCACAACUUUGGGAUAACGCUAGGAAACUGGUGCUAAUACUGGAUAUGUGCUCCUGCUGCAUGGUGGGGGUUGGAAAGCUCCGGCGGUUGUGGAUGGACUCGCGGCCUAUCAGCUUGUUGGUGGGGUAGUGGCCUACCAAGGCGGCGACGGGUAGCCGGCCUGAGAGGGUGACCGGCCACAUUGGGACUGAGAUAGGGCCCAGACGCCUAGGGGAGGCAGCAGUGGGGAAUAUUGCACAAUGGGCGCAAGCCUGAUGCAGCAACGCCGCGUGCGGGAUGACGGCCUUCGGGUUGUAAACCGCUUUCAGCAGGGACGAAGCUUUUUGUGACGGUACCUGCAGAAGAAGCACCGGCUAACUACGUG
rnacentral:rRNA from 1 species